rnacentral:lncRNA from 1 species
UUUGGAGACCAGAGCAGGAGGCAGGGGCCACUCACAGAAGUGACGGUUACUGGCCUUUGUUCUCCUGCUAGACAGGAGGGGCAAUACCCAGAACUGCCAUGAAGGGGCAAGGAAUUAGCCAAGGCAGCUGUAGUGGUUAAGAAGGAUGAGCUGGGGGGAGACUGCAGCCAGGGAAGUCAGAGAGGAGCCUCGGGUGAUGUGCUGAGGGGCUGCCCUUGCACUGGGGCAUGGGGAACAAAGGGAAGGAGGCAGAGCAUAGAGAACAGACAGCUCUUAAUGAGAUGGCUCACUAGGCCAGGAACAGGGAGAGCAGGUCCAUACAUCGGGCUGACACCAAGGAGGUGUACCACCCUGUAGGCACUGCAGCACAGAACGCUGUGGGCUGCGAGGAUGCCCAGGCCUGGAGCCCAACAACUCAGAAAGGAGUCGUGUUCCACAAGCAGCUGCCCUAGCUGGAGUCCCAAGAUGCCGGCCCAGCCCGAGGCUGCACCGCACAAUGAGC